rnacentral:rRNA from 1 species
AUUCAGCAUGCCUUAGUACGGCGAGUGAAGCGGCAAAAGCUCAAAUUUGAAAUCUGGCACCUUCGGUGUCCGAGUUGUAAUUUGAAGAAGGUAACUUUGGAGUUGGCUCUUGUCUAUGUUCCUUGGAACAGGACGUCACAGAGGGUGAGAAUCCCGUGCGAUGAGAUGCCCAAUUCUAUGUAAAGUGCUUUCGAAGAGUCGAGUUGUUUGGGAAUGCAGCUCUAAGUGGGUGGUAAAUUCCAUCUAAAGCUAAAUAUUGGCGAGAGACCGAUAGCGAACAAGUACAGUGAUGGAAAGAUGAAAAGAACUUUGAAAAGAGAGUGAAAAAGUACGUGAAAUUGUUGAAAGGGAAGGGCUUGAGAUCAGACUUGGUAUUUUGCGAUCCUUUCCUUCUUGGUUGGGUUCCUCGCAGCUUACUGGGCCAGCAUCGGUUUGGAUGGUAGGAUAAUGACUAAGGAAUGUGGCUCUACUUCGGUGGAGUGUUAUAGCCUUGGUUGAUACUGCCUGUCUAGACCGAGGACUGCGUCUUUUGACUAGGAUGUUGGCAUAAUGAUCUUAAGCCACCCGUCUAAAAAACGGGCAAAAAAAAACCCAUAAAAAUUAAAGG